CUAAACCCCCUUUUUCUCCUUAAGCAAUUAAUCAUUCAUACAUAAUAUAUAUAGGUCAGACAUUUUUUGGGUAGCUAGUUGUUCAAUUUUCAGUUCCAAAUGGAAAUUCGUGUAUGCAGCUGUGUGAUUAAAGAUGAUGAAGACAAUGAAGAUGAUAUAGAGCUUUUGAUCAAGCAAUGAUAUAACUUCAAGUCCCUAGACUUGUUUGAUCAUUUGGGCAACUAAAGAUCCUUUGGCAGAGAUACCCUCUAGGAACAGGAUAUGAGAUUCAUGAUCCAUGCUCCUAUAUCACUUUAUUUUCAUAUGAAAGAGUGAUGAAAUAUUUCUUCUAUGUAUGCAGCUCUAGGAAAAGGUAGUAGUAAUGUUGUUUUUUAUGUUUACCAUUUAUAUACACCCUUUUGCAAUGCUGCCAUAAUUUUCCCUAGCUGCCAUGUUUUUUAAUCUUUUUCUUAAUAUAAUAUUAAUGCUGAUCUGUUGCAUUUCAAAAGCUACCUGGAAUAUUAAUGUGAUUAAUCAGCGACAUUGUUAAAAUAUUAUUAUGUCUGCUUCCUCUUCUCCACUAACGUGUUGUAGUGGAAUAAGUAUCAUUUGAUUUCGUUGUCAUAUAUACAUCUUUGGAUGUGAUCUUCAAAGAUAUUAUGCUUUCUAAGAAGUCUGAACUAUCAUGGGACAAUUGUAUAUGCUAAUUCUAGUUAUGGGCCAUGCACAGUGCAUACUCUAUUUUUUUAUGUUCUGCCAAGGAUUUAAGGUUAUAACAUUUUAA